rnacentral:rRNA from 1 species
GGGGGGGGCGAGCGUUGUUCGGAAUUACUGGGCGUAAAGGGUUCGUAGGUGGCUCGCUAAGUCAGACGUGAAAUCCCUCAGCUCAACUGGGGAAUGGCGUCUGAGACUGGCAAGCUUGAGUGCAGGAGAGGAACGCGGAAUUCCAGGUGUAGCGGUGAAAUGCGUAGAUAUCUGGAGGAACACCGGUGGCGAAGGCGGCGUUCUGGACUGCAACUGACACUGAUGAACGAAAGCCAGGGGAGCAAACGGGAUUAGAUACCCCGGUAGUCCUGGCCCUAAACGAUGAAUGCUUGGUGUGGCGGGUAUCGAUCCCUGCCGUGCCGCAGUUAACGCGUUAAGCAUUCCGCCUGGGGAGUACGGUCGCAAGGCUG